rnacentral:misc_RNA from 1 species
GAUGAAGAACGUAGCGAAAUGCGAUAAGUAGUGUGAAUUGCAGAAUUCAGUGAAUCAUCGAAUCUUUGAACGCACAUUGCGCCUCCUGGUAUUCCGGGAGGCAUGCCUGUUCGAGCGUCAUUAAAAUCACUCAAGCUUAGGUUUACCUAUUGCUUGGUCUUGGAGAUGGAAGCCAAUUUAUUGGAAUCCUCUUCGAAAUUCAAUGGCGAAGACCCUUGCUCUCCCAAGUGUAGUAAUAACUUAUGUCACUGAAGGAAGCGAGAAAUCUUCUGCCGUAACCCCCAUCUUUUCUAUGAUUGACCUCGGAUCAGGUAGGGAUACCCGCUGAACUUAAGCAUAUCAAUAAGCGGAGGA